AUGGCCAUAUCACAUUAAACACUGGUUCCUGUAUGAUUACCAAAGUUAAGCAAUGUCAAACCUAGUCAGUACCAAGAUGGGUGACCAUUUGAGAAUACCAGGUGCUGUAAG